rnacentral:rRNA from 1 species
AACCUGCCUCAAAGAGGGGGACAACAGUUGGAAACGACUGCUAAUACCGCAUAAGCCCACGGCUCGGCAUCGAGCAGAGGGAAAAGGAGCAAUCCGCUUUGAGAUGGCCUCGCGUCCGAUUAGCUAGUUGGUGAGGUAACGGCCCACCAAGGCGACGAUCGGUAGCCGGACUGGGAGGUUGAACGGCCACAUUGGGACUGAGACACGGCCCAG